AAAGGAAAUAACUUUAGUUCAUUUGGCAGCUUUUGCCUUGUUCUUUCACUCUCUAAUGCUCUUUCUUCUUUCACUCUCUACUUCUCCCAUUACUCAUAUGAAUUGUACUCCAUUUUUGAAAACAUCUUUUACGGGAAAAUUGAAGGAAAUUCAACCUAGUGGUUAUCAAAUUGUGAAUGUAGUGCUGUGAGCAUUCAGAAAUUGAAGGAAUGACUUCUUUGCUUUACUAUGGGUAGAAACGUACAUCCCUCAUGAACUGGGAGCAGGCAAGUUUAAGCAGGUUCUGACGUGCUGAUUUGGUGUUGUUUUGGUGGAAAAAUGAAGAAUUGAAAGUGUGGUUUAAUGGUGGAAGAGUAGGAGGAAGAAGAAGGAGGUAAAGAAAUAAAACUAUUUUUCUUUAUGGAGAAAGAAGUAUUUGGAACGGAAGAAGAAGAUACUAUUUUUUAUUUUUUUUUACUUGUUGUGCUAAAAAAUGGAGAACCAUUUUUUUUAACUUGUCUGCUAAAAAUGGAGAAAGUAGCAUUUGAAAAGGAAGA